UGGGGAAUCUUGCGCAAUGGCCGAAAGGCUGACGCAGCGACGCCGCGUGGGGGAUGAAGGUUUUCGGAUCGUAAACCCCUGUUGCCCGGGACGAAACGCCUUUUUCGAGAGGCUUGACGGUACCGGGUGAGGAAGCACCGGCUAACUUCGUGCCAGCAGCCGCGGUAAUACGAAGGGUGCGAGCGUUGUCCGGAAUCACUGGGCGUAAAGGGCGCGUAGGCGGCUGGGGAAGUCCGUGGUGAAAGCUCGUGGCUCAACUGCGAGUCGGCCAUGGAUACUCCUCGGCUUGAGCACUGUAGAGGCAGGUGGAAUUCCGGGUGUAGCGGUGGAAUGCGUAGAGAUCCGGAAGAACACCGGUGGCGAAGGCGGCCUGCUGGGCAGUAGCUGACGCUGAGGCGCGACAGCGUGGGGAGCAAACA
rnacentral:rRNA from 1 species